UAUAUCUUAAGUAAAAUUUAAUUUAUCACAGAUAAGAUAAAUAAUGUUAUUAAUUUGUAUUUUUUAUCUAACUGCAAGUAACUGAUUAUAAAUUGUUUUUUUUAUUUAGGUCGAAUGGGUCGAUUACCGACAGAAGGUGAGCUCAGAAUGUGGAUUGAUCAAUAAAGUCUAAAUCGUCGGUUUUGCUUCAAACUAUUUUUUAUAAUAAUUUUCAAGAUAUACAAAGACGUCUCUAUGAAUCUAUACUACCUGGGUUAGGUACCUAACCACUUUGUGCUUGGACUAUAGUCUUACUGUAUUGAUGUAUCAGGACAGUCACUGCUGAAGUUAGUCUACCUACAAGAGCUUGUCUACCAGAUGGCGUACAUUCUCGACUCUCCGCACUUACAGAGAAGUAAGAAUAUUAAAUGUACUUUUUUUACCAGCCUAUCGGGUCUUAACGGAGUUUAUGCAAUUACAUCCAAUUGAUUUAACAUCAUUGAUUAUUGAUGACAUUCGUUGUAAUAUGCAUAGUUAAAUAAUAAAUACAGAUGAUUAUGGUAA